rnacentral:lncRNA from 1 species
CCGCGAGAUCGACACUCGAUGCCUCCGCGUAGGGCAUCCACCCGGCGGUCCACGGCCUCCGCGGCCAGAUCUCAGGCUCCGGCCUCCCCUCCCGUCUCUUAGCCAGCUCCUCCUCCCCCUCCGGCGACGGCGGUCGGCGCGGAGCAGUUUGACUUGCUGGCGCAGCAGGUCAAAGGCCUCGUCGAGGCCGUACAGGCAAUGCAGCAGCAGCCACCGCAGGCGUCGGCGCAUCCGGAGGGGGCAUCUCCGGAAUGCCAGAACCCGACGGUGGGGCGGGCCACCUGG